rfam:Myotis lucifugus cont2.12501, whole genome shotgun sequence.
UGUGGUUCUCGGGUGACACACUCCAGAAUCAGGCUCCCUCUUCUCUGGUUCUAGGGUGCGUCACCCAAGAACCACC